AUAUAUACAACAGUGUUGUAUUACUUAACUAUAACUACAUUUGUAAAUCUAUUUUAGUACAGCAAAAUUUCAAUUUUAGUUUGGUGUACAUGUUUUCAAAAUACGUACUUGUGACCUGCUGUACUACAAUGUAUGUCAGAUGACAGACAGAGGUGCACACAUCAAACCAUUUUCAUACCUUCUUCAAUGCAGUCCAUGCAUGAAGCAUGCAUGCAUGGCUCCCAAGCUCUGGUUACAUCAAAGAGACUACUACUUCAUUAUUAUUAUUUCAUAUAGUAAAUAUAACUCUGCUGUUGGCAGACAACUGUUAAUAAAAUGUAGCUAUAGGCAAAUUAUGCUAGCAUAAUUGGAGCAUUAUAAUAGAGCAUAAUGGGUAAAAAUUUCUGGCUGAAUACAUGAUUUCAAGUACUAGUAGAACAACCCAACUGCUUAACACCCACCUACUCAUGUGUGGUGACCUACACAAGUGUGAUGAGUCCAAUGGCUUAGGCUGUGCUAUUUUGCAGUGACUCAAAAGUCUGGAAACAUUUUUAGACUCUGGCAUUAUUAUAAUAUUGCAAUUAUAACAGAUGCAUGCAUGUACAUGUAACUUGAUAGCUGAUAUUUGAGUAAAGCUUAAAAUAUGAGCAUAAAUGGAUUCAUUUCAAAGGAUAAUAGGAUGGAAUUUGGAGCAGCGCCUAAAAGCAUAAUUUUCCAACCCCUACAUAUAGCCCAGCCAAGCUAUAUACAAUGCUAAACUAGUGUUACUGUCAGUACAAGGAGAAAGAGAGAGAGAGAGAGAGAGAGGAACAAGUAAGAAAAGCUACUGCAAAUUUUAGAAUCAUGGCAGAGAUUAAAGUUUCUCCUGAUGUAAAGGCAAUGUUUGAUAGCAUCAA